UUGGAUCACAGAUGUUAUGGCCGUCAUCUUGGAAACCCUAAUUCCCUCCAAACCCUAAUUUACUCUAUAAAACCAUACACGCUCGUCUCUUCCAUAGAAGUGGUUGCUCCUCUUGCCUCUCCGCUUGUGGUGAUGUUGAAGACUUCGCUCAUUUAGUUUUCACGAGCACUAUUCUGUUCUUUCGGAUCUGUUCUUUUGAAAAUUCUCUUUCGGUUUUGUCAAACUUUACGAUCGUCGAAUCUUCUUUAUUUUCUUCUUUGUGUUGUGGAAGGAUUACAUUUUUUUAGUGUAAUUUGUGGGCUUGUUUGAUUUGUGUUCUAGAUUAGCUUGUAAUUCACUUACGGAUCUGUGGGGAUAAAUCGCAAAGCUCUCUCAACAUUUGCAGUGCCGCCUGAGAACUUUCGCCUUCGCCGGGCUUGAGGGUUUCUGCUGUUUCUCGAGGGACUUCACAGUAUCGAAGCAUGGUGUUUCUUAAUCAUAUUCAUCUAUUUAAUUUGCAGAACAUUUUCCCGCAGGUAUUAUAUUCUUUCUAGAAGUCUGCGUGCAUAACUUAGAUUUUUUCUAUUGCUCUUUUUAUGUUCUUUAUCUCCAGAGCAGAAUAAAGUCCAGCAUUGGGACUUGGAUCUCCAUUGUUUGCGAGAAGAUCAAAUUUCAUUCAUUGAACCAAGAAGCUUGUUGGAGGAAAUCAAAUGUAAUUUGCAGACUGUUCAAUUGUUUAUGUUUUAGAUUUAUUUUAUUUUUUGUGGAAGUUUAAUUUGUCAUUGGAAUAUUGUAUUAUAUCUUGUUCAUUUUAUGAUUCUUAUAAUUAAGGUCUAUAUAAAUAAUCUUGUUCUGUAA